rnacentral:rRNA from 1 species
ACUCCUGCGGGAGGCAGCAGUGGGGAAUAUUGCACAAUGGGCGCAAGCCUGAUGCAGCGACGCCGCGUGGGGGAUGAAGGCCUUCGGGUUGUAAACUCCUUUCGCUAGGGACGAAGCUUUUUUGUGACGGUACCUAGAUAAGAAGCACCGGCUAACUACGUGCCAGCAGCCGCGGUAAUACGUAGGGUGCGAGCGUUGUCCGGAAUUACUGGGCGUAAAGGGCUCGUAGGUGGUUUGUCGCGUCGUCUGUGAAAUUCUGGGGCUUAACUCCGGGCGUGCAGGCGAUACGGGCAUAACUUGAGUGCUGUAGGGGUAACUGGAAUUCCUGGUGUAGCGGUGAAAUGCGCAGAUAUCAGGAGGAACACCGAUGGCGAAGGCAGGUUACUGGGCAGUUACUGACGCUGAGGAGCGAAAGCAUGGGUAGCGAACAGGAUUAGAUACCCGGGUAGUCCCAUG